GCGCUGACGCCGGGCCCCCACCGACCAGUCACACGGAUUACGCCAACUCUUCUCCCUCGGCGCCGACGGGUGAGACCACCCCGUCAACUGCGCUCACCCGUGCGUAUCUCCCUCUGUUGCUGACUGGUGGGCCCCCUCGGCAGUCAGUUCUUCUUCCCAUCGAGCGCAACUCAAACAGAAUCCUAACCAAAUCUGAUUCCACGCCGCGUGUGUCGGGAUCUGCCACCAACCCCGUCGUUAUCUGGUCCAUAGCCAUGGCUAUAUAGGCGAGAACUGAGGAUCAAUCGCUGGCAAGAAAAGAGAUAGAGAGAGUUGGAUCCGUCGUCCAAACUCCGGCUAACCAGCAUCUGGCCCUCGGGAUAGGUCCACGCGUAUUCUGGGCCUUGCCAAGCUCUGGGAUGGUCGUGGGGUGGCGCGCGCGCUCGCCGUCGAGUAGGCCUCCCUGUGGAGCCACAUCUCGCCAUGGGGGAAGUUAUCCACUGCUCCACCGUCGGUCAAGAACAGGUACCGCAGGAUGAUGCGCAUGAAGGAUGUUGUGAUGAGUUCAUGAGUGGUCUAGACCAUCGUCUCCCAGUCAACUAUGGUUGCUGGAUCGAUGUAUUCGUAUGAUGUAUUUAUUUAUUUAUUUUGUAUAGAACUCCUAUAGUAAAGAUGUGACAUUCGUUUCUGUAGCAUGAGCCAUCAUAUGUGUGAGGCUUGAUCCCAGCAUACUUGGUGAUUAUUUUUACGCCCGGGUUUUGGUGCCCCUAGAACCCGGGUGUGACAAUGUGCAAAACAAUAAAUAUAAUAAGCAAAAGCUAGCUGUUUCAUAAUCAAAGUUUUGAACCCUUAAA